rnacentral:lncRNA from 1 species
ACCCAGGUGUUGGGUUUGGGGAAUGACAAUGAUAACAUGUAUAAAAGAUCAGAUGAAGUAACUUGUCCAAAGCUGAGCAUUUGAAGAAGCAGGAACCAUCAACAUUAAUAUGAGUGAAGAAUAUUGAUGAAAUCCCAUCGCUGUGCAUGUAAUUGUUGAAAGAUGUGAAGAAGGAAAUGUCAGUUGCUGAAGAUGACCAAUUGCAGUUGUUAUCCCCUUGAAGAUUUGUGAUGCCUUUACCAUGCAAACUCACUCUGAAGCAUGAAUGAUACAUUUGAGU